rnacentral:rRNA from 1 species
AUGAAACUGAACAAGCAACUAAACCGAUCGUUGCUAGCAGCUUGGAGUUGGAUCCUUCCACCAUCACCAUGGACGGCAACAACCAGAUCCAUGAUCCGCUGCUUGCGACCGUGCCCAAGGAGGAGACCAUCCCGGCUGCCGUCCGGCGGGCCAGUGGAUGGGCGCUCUUCACUGCCUGCGGCACCCUCCUCUCGUUCGCCGCGGGCCACGCGGCCGCCUACGCAGUCGGCCAGUACCAAGUCUGCUCCACCCAGGUCGGACUACGUAACUACACCCGCUUGGUUGGUUUCUGGACAAUCCAAACUUUCCAUCGAUGGAUCCAUCCAUCAUAUUCAAGAUGGUUCAGUGUGGUGUUCGUCUGGAUGCACACGCCGUUCGUCCUGCGGUGCGUCCUGUGGACCGACGCGCAGGCCGCCGACGACAGCGCCCUCUGGUUCGGGAUGCUGUGCUGCGCCCUACUCCAGGCGGCUGCCGCGGCGCUGGCGCUUCACCUCCCGUGCCGCCGCCGCCGGGUCCGCCGCGCCCUCGCCUUCCUCGCACUCGUCGUCACCUUCGUCGGCCAGUGCAUGUACGCCGCCGCCGCCCGCCUCCUCCUCGCCGUCGACCCAGGAUACAUCAUCGCCAGGAUCUUCUGCACGGCGAACAUCGUCAUCUUCGCGGGGGGCGACCUCAUCUGCUUCCUGGGCCUCCUCCUGGGAGGUGACAACUGAUGAGCAGGGCGUAGGCAGCCGAUCGAUCAGUUCGCGCGUUCAUGAGGUACGGAUGAAGUCAUGA